GUUUGAAUUGACUGGGAAGAAAACAGAGACUGUUUUCAGUGCUGCUUGUGGAAACCAUGGUUUUGCAUUUGGCAAGUCCCAUAGAUGGAACAGUGUCCUCAGCCCGAGGGAACGCUCUAUUCAGGUGAUGUUGAUGUUUAUCUAGGAAAAUACAUUUGUUAAGCUAAUUGAACCUUGCACUUAAAGUAUUUUAUCUUAGUUGUAAGUUACAGUUAAUUUCAAUAGAUGCCGUGAAGAACAUGUGUGAUUAGUUCACUCCACUGUUUAUAGAUAGUGGUGUUGGACUGUUUGGGACAACACAGCUAUGGACCUUCUUUUACCUGCUUUGAAUCCAAAGGCAUGCUUCUGUAGGAGUGUCGCUGCUGAGUCAUCACAUGCACAGGGUACUGCUGUUCCCAGUGCAGUUGGACCAGCUUGCACACGAGCAGCACAAGCAUCCAGUUGCUCUGCAGCGUCGCCCUGCUUCGUGUUAACCUGUUUUCAAAUUUUGGUCGCUGUAGUUGGCGUGGGCAGUGGUUUGGAUUAUAGUUUUAAUUUAUAUUUUCCAUGAGACAGAGUUGAUUGUGCAUCCAUUUUAAUUGUAUACUUGUAGGCAUUCUUUGAGUAUUCCAAAUGGAAAAUUUGGUGGCUACAGAAGUAUAGUCGGUGCCCACUGACCUUGCCUUUCCAAUCCUUACGACCUCUGUUAAGGUUCUUAUUUCACUGCAGUCUGAGUGAGUGAUACUUUGUUUUUAAUACUUUGAACUCUCUCUUAAGCAUUUUGCUGUGUUCUUUGUCCAUGAAGGUGCUGCACUGUGGAUAUUAAGAUGCUCUUUUGAUUUAUCAGUCACAGCCAAAGCUACAGUUUGCCUAUCAUUAUUUGGGCCUGCGGUUUGAGACCAAGACGAGUAUUUUUCUUGUGAUAUUUAUUUUGAUUUUCAUGGGUCUUAGUGUAAAGUCUGUGCCUUUCCAGUUACUGUGUAGCAGAAACCAGCUCACUUAUGGUGUCCGUCUUGAGUGUCUUGAGUUGGUCCAUAACUAUGCUCUGGCCUGGAGUUGGCCCCGUGGAAGCUAUGUAAUACUUUCCAAACCAAGAAUAAUUUUAUAUUUUUACAGGUUUGUUUAAAAAGAGAAAGAGAAAGAACACACCAGAUACUGUAGGUACUUAAGAGCCCUAAAUAUUGACUGCUAGUUCCUUACAGGUGCUCAUCAUAUGUGUUGUUCUGUUCCAUUGGUCGUUUGUGUUGUUUGCUUUUUCAGACAGGAUUUCUCUGUGUAGCCCUGAUUGUCCUGGAACCUACUAUGUAGACCGGGCUGGCCUCCAGAGUUCAGCCUGCCUCUGCCUCCCUUGUGCUGGGAUUAAAGCCCAACACCAUGCCCAGCCCAUUGGUCAUUUUAUUUGCAUUGAGCCAACACUGCUUCUGUUUGCUGUGGCUUGAUAAAUGAUUCUAUCUAUAGUGCAUCCUUCAUUUGCUUGACUGAGAUCUAACAGUGCUUUGUCACGAAUCUGCGUGCAUGACGUUCCAGAUUAAACCC
rnacentral:lncRNA from 1 species